UACGUAGGGUGCGAGCGUUAAUCGGAAUUACUGGGCGUAAAGCGUGCGCAGGCGGCGGCAUAAGACAGAUGUGAAAUCCCCGGGCUCAACCUGGGAACUGCGUUUGUGACUGUGCUGCUAGAGUGUAGCAGAGGGGGGUGGAAUUCCACGUGUAGCAGUGAAAUGCGUAGAGAUGUGGAGGAACACCGAUGGCGAAGGCAGCCCCCUGGGUUAACACUGACGCUCAUGCACGAAAGCGUGGGGAGCAAACAGG
rnacentral:rRNA from 1 species